rnacentral:rRNA from 1 species
CCUACGGGAGGCAGCAGUGAGGAAUAUUGGUCAAUGGCCGGAAGGCUGAACCAGCCACGCCGCGUGAAGGACGAAGGUGUCAAGCAUUGUAAACUUCUUUUGUCAAGGGACAAAAUCAGGCUCGAGAGCCUGACCGAGGGUACUUGAAGAAAAAGCAUCGGCUAACUCCGGGCCAGCAGCCGCGGUCAUACGGAGGAUGCGAGCGUUAUCCGGAUUUAUAGGGUUUAAAGGGUGCGUAGGCGGGCGGUUAGGUCAGAGGUAAAAGCCCGGGGCUAAACCCCGGCGAGCCGUUGAAACUGGGUGUCUUGAGAUGUCGAGAGGUAUGCGGAAUGCGCAGUGUAGCGGUGAAAUGCUUAGAUAUUGCGAAGAACUCCGGUGGCGAAGGCAGCAUACCGGCGGCGAUCUGACGCUGAGGCACGAAAGCGUGGGUAGCGAACAGGAUUAGAUACCCCUGUAGUC